UGGUGGAGUGAUUUGUCUGGUUAAUUCCGUUAACGAACGAGACCUCGACCUGCUAAAUAGUUCGGCGAAUCCUUUCGGAUUCGUACGUAACUUCUUAGAGGGACUAUUGGUUACUAGCCGAUGGAAGUUCGAGGCAAUAACA
rnacentral:rRNA from 1 species